rnacentral:rRNA from 1 species
GAUGAACGCUGGCGGCGUGCCUAAUACAUGCAAGUCGAGCGAACGGACGAGAAGCUUGCUUCUCUGAUGUUAGCGGCGGACGGGUGAGUAACACGUGGAUAACCUACCUAUAAGACUGGGAUAACUUCGGGAAACCGGAGCUAAUACCGGAUGAUAUUUUGAACCGCAUGGUUCAAAAGUGAAAGACGGUCUUGCUGUCACUUAUAGAUGGAUCUGCGCUGCAUUAGCUAGUUGGUAAGGUAACGGCUUACCAAGGCAACGAUGCAUAGCCGACCUGAGAGGGUGAUCGGCCACACUGGAACUGAGACACGGUCCAGACUCCUACGGGAGGCAGCAGUAGGGAAUCUUCCGCAGUGGGCGAAAGCCUGACGGAGCAACGCCGCGUGAGUGAUGAAGGUCUUCGGAUCGUAAAACUCUGUUAUUAGGGAAGAACAUAUGUGUAAGUAACUGUGCACAUCUUGACGGUACCUAAUCAGAAAGCCACGGCUAACUACGUG